rnacentral:rRNA from 1 species
UCCGUAGGCGGUGCGGCAAGUCGGAAGUGAAAUCUCUGGGCUUAACCCAGAGGCUGCUUCCGAAACUGCCGUGCUCGAGUGUGAGAGAGGCGAGUGGAAUUACGGGUGUAGCGGUGAAAUGCGUAGAUAUCCGUAGGAACAUCCGAGGCGAAAGCGGCUCGCUGGAUCACAACUGACGCUGAGGGACGAAAGCUAGGGGAGCAAACAGGAUUAGAUACCCUGGUAGUCCUAGCCCUAAACCAUCAGGACUUGGGGUUUGCCCUGUACGGGGCAAGUCCCGGAGCUAACGCGUUAAGUCCUGCGCCUGGGGAGUACGGUCGCAAGGCUGAA